rnacentral:pre_miRNA from 1 species
CUUGUACUCCCUCCGUCCAAAAAUACUUGUCAUUGAAAUGGAUGUAUCUAGAUGUAUUUUAGUUGUAGACACAUCCAUUUUGAUGACAAGUAAUUCCGGACGGAGGGAGUACUUG